rnacentral:rRNA from 1 species
GACGUAGGGGGCCAGCGUUGUUCGGAAUUACUGGGUGUAAAGGGUUCGUAGGCGGUGUGGCAAGUCGGGAGUGAAAUCUCUGGGCUCAACCCAGAGUCUGCUUCCGAAACUGCUGUGCUUGAGUGUGGGAGAGGCGCGUGGAAUUGCAGGUGUAGCGGUGAAAUGCGCAGAUAUCAGGAAGAACACCAAUGGCGAAAGCAGCUCUCUGGGACGGUACUGACGCUGAGACGCGAAAGCGUGGGGAGCGAACAGG